rnacentral:rRNA from 1 species
GUGGAUUGGCAUAAGAGUUUUUAACAACUCCGAGGUUAAGCGUGUUUGGGUGGGAGUAAUACUAGGAUGGGUGACCUCUUGAGAAGUCUCACCAAAUCCUUC